UACGUAGGGUGCAAGCGUUAAUCGGAAUUACUGGGCGUAAAGCGUGCGCAGGCAGUGAUGUAAGACAGAUGUGAAAUCCCCGGGCUCAACCUGGGAACUGCAUUUGUGACUGCAUCGCUGGAGUACGGCAGAGGGGGGGAUGGAAUUCCGCGUGUAGCAGUGAAAUGCGUAGAUAUGCGGAGGAACACCGAUGGCGAAGGCAAUCCCCUGGGCCUGUACUGACGCUCAUGCACGAAAGCGUGGGGAGCAA
rnacentral:rRNA from 1 species